rnacentral:tRNA from 1 species
GGCUUGUGGCUCAGUGGUAGAGCACUCCCCUAGCGUGUGAGGCCCUGGGUUCUAUCCUCAGCACCA